UACGUAGGUCGCAAGCGUUGUCCGGAUUUACUGGGCGUAAAGAGCGCGCAGGCGGCUGGCCAAGUCCGAUGUGAAAUCUCCCGGCUUAACCGGGAAACUGCAUCCGAUACUGGAUGGCUUGAAUCCGGGAGAGGGAUGCAGAAUUCCAGGUGUAGCGGUGAAAUGCGUAGAUAUCUGGAGGAAUACCGGUGGCGAAGGCGGCAUCCUGGACCGGCAUUGACGCUGAUGAGCGAAAGCUAGGGGAGCAAACGGG
rnacentral:rRNA from 1 species